rnacentral:tRNA from 1 species
GGCGACGUAGCCAAGUGGUAAGGCACGGGUCUGCAAAACCCUGAUCGUGGGUUCGAUUCCCACCGUCGCCUCCA